UACGUAGGGUGCAGGCGUUAAUCGGAAUUACUGGGCGUAAAGCGUGCGCAGGCGGUUUGCUAAGACAGGUGUGAAAUCCCCGGGCUUAACCUGGGAACUGCGCUUGUUACUGGCAGGCUUGAGUGUGGCAGAGGGGGGUGGAAUUCCACGUGUAGCAGUGAAAUGCGUAGAUAUGUGGAGGAACACCGAUGGCGAAGGCAGCCCCCUGGGUUAACACUGACGCUCAUGCACGAAAGCGUGGGGAGCAAACAGG
rnacentral:rRNA from 1 species